CCCCCGCGCGCGGCAGGGACCCCGCGCCGCAGCUGCGCGCCCCCGCGCCGCAGCCUUAACCCUAGACACCCCUCGGCUCGCCAGCCACUGGCGACCGCCCCCACACCCCCGGGCUUUCUCAGCUGACUUCCCCCUGGCACCGAGGCGCCCGCCCGCCUGAAGCAAGCCAGCUGGCGGGGCCGCCCCUGCCGCCGCGUCCGCCGCCGUCCGCGCAAGCCGGAGCGGCGCCCGAGGGCCGCGGGGCUGGCCGCCCGCCCCGCACAUGGCGGCCAGAGCAGCCUCGCGCUCGCCCCCCGCGCAUUCCGGGGCGCCGCCGGGGGUGCUGCAAACUUUUCUCGGCG
rnacentral:telomerase_RNA from 1 species